UCCUCCUUAGCUCAGUUGGUAGAGCGCAUCACUUGUAGAUCUUCCGGAAACAUUAGAAACUUGCGGACAUCUGGAUAUGAUGAGGUCAGUCGUUCGAGUCGGCUAGGGGGAA